rnacentral:rRNA from 1 species
AUUGAACGCUGGCGGCAUGCCUUACACAUGCAAGUCGAACGGUAACGCGGGGCAACCUGGCGACGAGUGGCGAACGGGUGAGUAAUGCAUCGGAACGUGCCUGGUAGUGGGGGAUAACUGCUCGAAAGAGCAGCUAAUACCGCAUACGACCUGAGGGUGAAAGGGGGGGAUCGCAAGACCUCUCGCUAUCAGAGCGGCCGAUGUCGGAUUAGCUAGUUGGUGGGGGAAAGGCCCACCAAGGCAACGAUCCGUAGCUGGUCUGAGAGGACGACCAGCCACACUGGGACGGAGACACGGCCCAGACUCCUACGGGAGGCAGCAGUGGGGAAUUUUGGACAAUGGACGCAAGUCUGAUCCAGCCAUGCCGCGUGCGGGAAGAAGGCCUUCGGGUUGUAAACCGCUUUUGUCAGGGAAGAAAUCCUCUGGGCUAAUACCCUGGGAGGAUGACGGUACCUGAAGAAUAAGCACCGGCUAACUACGUGCCAGCCGCCGCGGUAAAAC